GCACCAACUACACUUACGCCCUUCUGGCUCUGAACAAAAAUGUGGGUCCUACAUGUAUUUUUCAGAGCCAGAAGGGCGUAAACAUUACUCACACGUUUGUGUUAGGUCUUUGUUGUUUUGUUGCUUUAUUCAAUACAGUUUGAUCUCAGAUAGGUCUUUUUGGUACCAUUGGAUAGAGCUCAUCGAGACCUUUAUUUUGAUAUUAAGAACUCAUAUUCGCCCAAAAUGCCACUUACGCCCCUCUGGCUCCAAGCCCUCGAUUUGAUGGUCUCACAUGUACACUUAAAUGUAGCUGAUUCAGUGGUCUGUCACGGGACCAUGGUCUCUGGCACAUAUCAGUUGGUCUCUGGCACGGACCAGUGGUCAACCACUAGGUACGUGCUCUAAAGACACUGGUCGCGACCAGUGGCACAGCGGUCCUGACCAGCUUCUUACUGGCACAAAGGACACUAAAAUGACUGGUCCUGACCACCUCCACUGUGAUCUGUUCUGUUGUUUGGACCAGUUGAGUGAUCUGUGGAGUGUUUGUUUGUAUUUAUUUUUAAUACAACUUUUCCCAUUUCUCACUGUGUUAGCAGAAUAGCCUAAAUGUGAGAAGUCAUAAUCGGUUGUCUAUCCAAUGUUAUUGAUCAAUAUUAUUAAUAGAAAUCAUAAUAACAAUGAUUAAAUUGUUAUUAUUAGUCGUAGCUGUAUGAGUAGUACUAUCGAUCAUGCAGGUCAGUGUGUUCGUGACCUGCCGCACAGUCCUGACCAGCUCCUACCUGGCACGGACCAGUGGUCACUACCACUAGGGGCGCUAAAGACACUGGUCUGUCUUGUGGGUAGCACGGUCAGCACGGAGCUGAAGAAGAGCGGCUACUGACGUCACUCUCCUGCGCUGCUCAGAUUGCCAAAUGCUUUUUCGAAUUGUGGGCACUAUUUUGCGGGGCAGACCACGAAAACGAAAUAGCAAUCUCCUCUUGUUUUCUUUUUGAUGAUGGCAUAACAUGUGCCGUUAAGAAGAAAAUGCAAAUGCAAAUAGGAUGAUUGAUUACUUAUUUUAUUUAUGAGUCAGAUAAUGCAGCCACAUUCUUAAAAUGAAAAAGCAUUUCUGCAAAUGCAUUUUAAUUUUCAAAUUUUACAUUUCAAAUUGAAUUUUGGUAUCUAUUUGCUGGGGCAUAUUUUGAAACUUAAAUCUCAAAUGUCUUUUUCUUUUUCAUUUUAAUUAAGUAGAAGAAUGAGCAGUCUUGAAGAAGAAAAUUAAAAUGCAAAUAGGAUGAUUGAUUAUUCAUUUUAUUUAUGAGUCAAAUAAUGCAGCCACAUUCUUAAAAUGAAAAAGCAUUUCAGCAAAUGCAUUUAAAUUUAAAUUUUGGUCACGAUUCGCUUCCAUAAAAAUGUUGUGUCGAUAUUAGUUUUAAUUUGCCAGUAAAAUUACCCCUAGCUGUACCAGAUCUGACAUGUUGUGAUUCUGAUUCUGUUCUAUACUUGCACCGUCAACUGUUUUCUACUUUACCAGGGUCAUUUACAGCUGACAAGUUUCUCAUUUGGCUUACAUAUUCCAUCAUGCUCCACACUAACAGCUUCAUAGGUUAAUCUCUACAGUGUACACUACACACACAUAGAUUGUGAUGAGUAUGUGAAAAUUAACGCAACUACCAAUGUAAAUAUAUCCAACAUAUUUUGAUAUAAAGAAAGCAGGUUGACAUACACUUACUUGGUACUCUUUGAUGAGUGUCUCCAUGUCUUCAUUGAGGUAGACACUGAGGCUCCUCAGGAUACAGUCACGCUUGACAUUUGUCUUCAUUCUGAAACAAACAUACCAACAAGAUCACAAAGCAAAUUACAUUAGCUACCGCAUUGAUUUACAGUUUAAGUAAAGUUGAAAAGCUGCCGUACUUGAAUUACUUUGAUGGAGUCACUAAAAAAUUUGAAUAUGCACUUUCUGAUUGUAUAAUAAAUGUUUUACAUGAGAGAAAAAAUGUUGAUUGUGUGUAUUAAGCUUGUUUAAUACAAAGAUCAUUAAAG
rnacentral:lncRNA from 15 species